GGAGGCCAACCUGGUCUACAAAAUGAGUUCCAGAACAGCCGGGGCUACACAGAGAAACCCUGUCUCAGGGGAAAAAGAAAGUCAUGAAUCUGUUACUGCUACGGAACAUGGUAUUUGGAAUAACUGAAAUCUGUCUUCCCAAGCCGUGGCCGCUCACAUUUGGCUCCAGGACAAACUCAUUCUUUCUGAGGCUAGAACUGCUUUUGCAUUAAGGGGUUUUGGUGGCUGAAUGUGGAGCCCCAAAGAUGAUCCAAUUUCGUAAUAGGAGUCACUGGAUUGUUGCCAGGCUGGGCCUCUAGUGCCAACUGUUUGGUGUUGAUUCCUCAGCGGAAUGCUGUUCCUGGGUAGAGUCCAGAAUGGUGGGAAAGUUAUGGUGGCGUGUUGAAAGAUCCUGCUAAUAAAGUUGUAGUUCCUCAUAACUCUUGGAGCUUGGCGCAAACUGGAAGACUCCCUUUCUCCUUGGGACUUCCUCUUCUCUGCCUCACUUUGUCUGGACAGCAUCUGUAGUCCCUAAGCGAUGUGCCACAAAAUCCAUCCACGUGGCGGCCAUCACCUCCUUCAUGCCCCAGCCUAUGGGCCGUGGUAAGAUGCCCCUGCAGGAGCUCCUAUCAAAAUGGCAGCACCAUGACACCUUCUCAGCCUGCAGCUGUCACUGGAGCUGUCCACGGUGGCCCAUCUCCCUUCCCACCUCAACGGGAGCUGCCCCUUAGAAGCUGUCCACAGUGGCAACACCUUUCCUGCCUCAGCCUACUGCCAGUAUGAGGAGCUGUCCAGGGUUCCGACAUCUUCUUUCCUGCCUCAGCCUAUACGAUUUUGGUGAAAUACCACUGCGGAAGCUGUCCCACAGGAACUGUCCUCAGUGGCAGCACCCCCUCUCCAGUCCCUCCCAGCAGCUCCACAGAGGUGGUGUCUCAGAGAAAGCCAGAUAUGGUCAGGAAGGACUUCCCACCCUAACCCAGAGACCUGAUGCAAGGAAAGGGGAGGGGGCGUGAAAAAAAGCCACCAAUCUCUGAGCAGAACAACCCCCCCCCCCAGCUUUCCACAAAAUCCCUCCAAUCCCUGAGCAAGAGAACACACCAGUCCUAGAAGAGGAAAACCCACCAAUCCUCACUCUGGAAAUCUCUGUCCUGAGAAGCUCCGCCUCCUCAGAAACCCUAUGUAAGCACUGUCCCUUGGUCAGGUCCCCGGCUAUCCUCUCCCAGCAACACAAGGCAACCGCAACCGUCCCUGGGCUCAUCCCUCCACAUCCUGGAACCUCCAAAAAAAUCUCUUUCAUGAGAGUUUUCUGCCUGGAGUGACUCUCUCAUUGGAAGAAGCCAGGAAGAAAAGAAGCAAUGAAGAGAAGUGAAGAGAAGGAGCAGGGUUGAGGCUCCUCAGCUCACCCAAGGAUACCCUUCCCCAAGAGCUGCAGCACCUCUGCUGAGGAGCCUUCCUCUCAGAGCUGUGUGGUUCCUGCGCUCCCGUGUCUCAGGUGCCCUUCUGCUGGCAUGCCUUUCCCCCUUGGAGCUGUGUGGGUCCUAGGAUACCCUCCCAUUCUAGCAGAAACAUUUACAAGGGUAACAUGGGAAGUCUUGGUGGGAGGAACAGGAAGAGGGGAAGUAAUGUAAUUAUAAUCUCCAAAAAGAAAAGAAGACAUACCUACCCUGCCAGGUUGUUCACAAAAGUGCACACCAUUUUUGUUCGUUUGCUCAGCACUUGGCCAUACCUGCUGGACCUUCAUGUAAGUCUGUUGGCUCACAGGCGAUUACACUAGAUUCCUCCCAGGGACCUAACAGUAGCUUAUGCCAUCACCUACUGCCAGGUCUGGGCUACGUAUAAAAGGACUACUCGACACCCCUGUUGUCUGUCUGUCUGUCUCUCUCUCUCUCUCUCUCUCUCUCUCUCUCUCUCUCUCUCUCUCUCCCUGUCCCCAAGUGUUCUUGGCUGGUCUCUCUCCCUAUUCCUGCCCUUCUUUGUCCCCCCUUCUCUACCCUCACGGCUCUGCUCCCAUCUGUCUGCCUCUACCCCUUUCUAGGUGCUCACCCCCUUCAAUUCCCCCAAAUAAACCUUCUUUAUAUCA